rnacentral:rRNA from 1 species
CCAAUAGCGUAUAUUAAAGUUGUCGCAGUUAAAAAGCUCGUAGUUGAAUUUCGGGAUUGACGUGACGGUCGUGCCUUACGGGGUAUGAACUGUCGCCGUUGAUUUCUCACCUUCUGGAGAAGCUCGAUGUCCUUAAUUGGGUGUCUUGCGGAACCAGGACCUUUACCUUGAAAAAAUUAGAGUGUUUAAAGCAGGCAUUUUGCUCGAAUACAUUAGCAUGGAAUAAUAGAAUAGGACGGCAUGGUUCUAUUUUGUUGGUUUCUAGGAUCACCGUAAUGAUUAAUAGGGAUAGUUGGGGGCAUUAGUAUUCAAUUGUCAGAGGUGAAAUUCUUGGAUUUAUUGAAGACUAACUACUGCGAAAGCAUUUGCCAAGGAUGUUUUCAUUAAUCAAGAACGAAAGUUAGGGGAUCGAAGACGAUCAGAUACCGUCGUAGUCUUAACCAUAAACUAUGCCGACUAGGAAUCAGACGAUGUUAAUUUUUUAAUGACUCGUUUGGCACCUUACG